AUUCCUUUACAAAUUCAGGUAAGAAAGCUGAGGUACAAUAUGAAUACAUGAUGUAAUAUUAUGCCUGAAAUUAAUCUUUCGACUUUAUUAUAAAUUCAUGCCGCCAUUAAAACCAUUUUAACCCUUGAAAACCCCUAAAAACGGCUCAAAAUUAUGUGCAAAAAACAUCAAAUUUUCACAGAAAAAUCCAAUCUUUAACCUUUAAUCGAUAAAACCUCUUCCCUUUUCUUCAAACCCUAGAAUUUUUCUUAUCAAAAAUCAACAAUGGAGGCUGAAGAUAAUAAAAUUAGCAGCAGUAGCAGCAAUAUAAUCCCAGAAAAAGUAAUGGAAGGAGUAAGAACAACAUUGGCUAACAUUGAUGAACUUCAGUCAAAUUUUGAUGAGUUUCUCUCGCUUACUUCUGACCCUGAAGUCCUUUCUCAAUUACCACCAUUGGAGCGAGCUCAAUCCCUUCUUUUGCUUGCCAAACUUACUUCUGUUCUUCUUUCUGUGAAGUUGAGGUGCAGUGGGGUUUACCCUGAUCACCACCCAAUUAAAGGAGAACUUGAUAGGUUGAGCCGGUAUCAAGAAAAACUUGAGCGCUUUGUGGAUAAAAGUAGAGCACCCUUGCGACCUAGCACUACAGUGAACACCCAAGCAGCAACACGCUUUAUUGAACACUCUUUGCCUGAUCUUACCGCUGAGCAGAGAAAAAGAAUGAGGGCCAUCAGUAAGGGUGAGGAAGGCAGAAUGAAGUACUCAGAGAGGAAUAUUCAGAAGAAGAGGAAAACUCCGAUAAGUGACAUGAAAUCUGUGCGAGAGGCUGCAGAGGAAUUUCUGCAGAAAGCUGCCCGUGAACUUCUUGGUGAAACUAAUGGAGGUGUGCAGGGGCCUCUGGCCCCUGUGCAACCUGUAGAGAUAGAUGAGGAUUAAAUUACUGGGGGGCUUGACCAGCUAUUUUUGUUCUAAACCCGACUCCUUUAUAUCUCACAAAUAAUGAAACUCCUUUGAGUUAAUCUGUGAACAUUGGCUAUGGUCAAACCGUGUACAUCCUUAUCUUUCUGCACACUCGUUUCAACAUGGGUCUCUAGGUUCUCAAAUCUCGACUUCAUUUGGGAGGAUGAGUAGUUUGUUCGAUAGAUCAGCCUGGUCUCUUCAAAUGGGCAAGAGGCUCACUUCCUAUUUGUUAUUAGCUUUUGAAGUUCAUAAAUACAGUAAUCAAAACUCUUGUUUAUAUUUGUUGGUAGUGAACUAGUGAUGGUAUUGCUAGAAGAGCUUUUUCUCCUUUAGAGGCUGUUACGUCUGUUAGUGCUUGUUAUAGUCUGUUGUUGGAGAAUGUUAGCUUAAUUGUAAGUUAGUUCUUUUUCUCUUUGAAUUGAAUCCCGAUAUGAGUUUAUUUUAGUCUCUAUGAAUAUCUAUGGUAGAGCAAAAUAAUCUGAAAAA